rnacentral:rRNA from 1 species
UACGGAGGGGGCAAGUGUUGUUCGGAAUUACUGGGCGUAAAGGGCGCGCAGGCGGCUUGGCAAGUCGAGUGUGAAAUCCCUUGGCUUAACUGAGGAACUGCGCUCGAAACUACCUCGCUCGAGGGCGGGAGAGGGAAGUGGAACUCUCGGUGUAGCGGUGAAAUGCGUAGAUAUCUGGAGGAAUACCGGUGGCGAAGGCGGUUCUCUGGAACGGUACUGACGCUGAGACGCGAAAGCGUGGGGAGCGAACAGG